GUAUGGAGGCGCGUUUUCUUGAG
rnacentral:siRNA from 1 species